UACGGAGGGUGCGAGCGUUAUUCGGAAUAACUGGGCGUAAAGGGCACGCAGGCGGGCUUUUAAGUGAGGUGUGAAAUCCCCGGGCUUAACCUGGGAAUAGCAUUUCAGACUGGGAGUCUAGAGUACUUGAGGGAGGAGUAGAAUUCCACGUGUAGCGGUGAAAUGCGUAGAGAUGUGGAGGAAUACCGAAGGCGAAGGCAGCCCCCUGGGAAGGUACUGACGCUCAUGUGCGAAAGCGUGGGGAGCAAACAGG
rnacentral:rRNA from 1 species